AGGGAAUUGACAGCCUUAGAGAAAUGGAUGAUCGGAUUGGGUACCAGGUGGGUUCGUUUGCAGAGCGUUAUCUGAGGGAUGAGCUUAACAUCUCAGAGUCAAGGCUCGUCCCGCUUGGUUCACCUGAAGCUUAUGCCAAAGCUUUAAAAGAUGGACCAAGAAAAGGAGGUGUUGCGGCAAUUGUGGACGAGCGUCCUUAUGUUGAACUCUUCCUCUCCAGCAAUUGCGCUUAUAGGAUCGUUGGUCAGGAGUUCACCAAAAGUGGCUGGGGAUUUGUAAGUCAGUAUUAUUUUUACCAUUCAGUCAAAAUUACAAAUUUACAAAUGUUUCUUUUACUUAGGCAUUUCCUAGAGACUCUCCUCUAGCAAUAGAUCUGUCAACAGCGAUCUUGGAGUUGGCAGAGAACGGGGAUCUGCAGAGGAUCCAUGAUAAGUGGCUGAUGAAGAACGCAUGCACCCUAGAGAACGCAGAACUUGAAUCAGACAGGCUUCAUCUGAAAAGCUUCUGGGGACUGUUUCUCAUAUGUGGAGUUGCAUGUGUCCUCUCUCUCUUCCUCUACUUUGUUCAGAUCAUCCGUCAGCUCUACAAUGGAAAGCCAAGCGAGGAAGAAGAAGAUGCCAUUGGGAGAGAGAAUCAUGACUCCUCGUCCUUGCGGUCUACUCGUCUGCAGAGAUUCUUGUCGCUCAUGGAUGAGAAAGAAGACGUGUCCAAGGCGGGAAGCAAGAAGAGAAAGAUCGAUGGAUCAGUGAAUGAUAAUUCAGUAUCGAGACAUUCACGGCGACUUGACAGCUUCAAUUCGGUUAAUCCAUUAGAUUGAAAGUUUAGUUACAGAAGAUUCUUUAAGGCAUCAAAACCGUUUAUAGUAUCAAAAGUGUAUCCAACUUGUGCAUUCCCUGAUUCUGUAAUCUUUUAAUCUUAUUAGGAGUUCUUCAAAACAAGUGUAUGUGACAUGUUUAUGGAAGCAUUAAAGGCAAUAUUAAUUUUUUUUAGAGUAGCUGUACCAAGUUCAAUACGGUAAAAAUAAAUGAGUAGCUACAUCGUCUGACAAACUCUCAACAACCACACACAAGCUUAUGGCUAACGAUCUGAAACGUACCGUGAAAAUUAAAUGAUGAGGGACCAGUCGUUGUCUCUUUCAGAGUAUGAGUAGCUACAUCGUCUGACAAACUCUCAACAACCACACACAAGCUUAUGGCUAACGAUCUGAAACGUACCGUGAAAAUUAAAUGAUGAGGGACCAGUUGUUGUCUCUUUCAGAGAAGGAGAGCUCAGGCACAAGGCCACGACAUUCUCAAACCUCAUCCAAUCCCUUCAGACAAUACCAAUAAUGAAAACCUAUCACUAAUCCCCACCACACAGACACACACACAAAAAAAAAAGAUUAUUGAUUUCAUUUCCCCAAUUAAACCCUCGUCCUGCUGCUUAUCCUUCUUCGUCCAGAGACGGAAAAAAAAACACAAAUUAAUGGCGGCUGAAUAUUCCGGUAGCCGAAGUUCCAACACACAGCUUCUCGCUGAACUCGAAGCCCUAAGUGAAAAUCUUUACCAGAAACCUCAGGCUCCAGUUGGUCGCAGAACAAACUCUCUCGCUCUCCCUCGCAGCUCCGUUCCGUCCCUCGUGACCUCUGCCGAGGAUGUGACGGUGCCGAAACCACGGUCUCGGCGUUUGUCUCUGUCUCCAUGGCGGUCUCGACCCAAGCUUGAGGCAGAGGAGGAAGAGAAUAUGGCUCAGAAGAUAAGCAUCAAGACACCAGAAGAGUCAUGAAAAUCUUUACCAGAAACCUCAGGCUCCAGUUGGUCGCAGAACUAACUCUCUCGCUCUCCCUCGCAGCUCCGUUCCGUCCCUCGUGACCUCUGCCGAGGAUGUGACGGUACCGAAACCACGGUCUCGGCGUUUGUCUCUGUCUCCAUGGCGGUCGAGACCCAAGCUUGAGGCAGAGGAGGAAGAGAAUAUGACUCAGAAGAUAAGCAUCAAGACACCAGAAGAGUCUUCAUUGGUGGGAUCCAAAGCCAAGGAAGAGAGAAAAGGGAUAUGGAACUGGAAACCCAUUCGCGGGCUGGCCCGAAUCGGAAUGCAGAAGCUGAGCUGUUUGUUGUCGGUCGAGGUCGUAGCGGCCCAGAAUCUACCGGCGUCGAUGAACGGUCUACGACUCGGGGUUUGCGUGAGGAAGAAGGAAACCAAAGAUGGCGCUGUCCAGACGAUGCCGUGUCGGGUUUCUCAAGGAUCUGCCGAUUUCGAGGAGACGCUGUUCAUCAAGUGCCACGUGUACUACUCGCCGGCUAAUGGGAAAGGUGCUCCCGCCAAGUUUGAGGCUCGGCCGUUUUUGGUUUAUCUAUUCGCGGUGGAUGCUAAGGAGCUCGAGUUUGGAAGGAACAUGGUGGAUUUGAGCGAUUUAAUCCAGGAAUCUGUGGAGAAGAUGAGUUACGAAGGAGCUAGGGUUAGGCAAUGGGAUAUGAGCUGGGGGCUUUCAGGUAAAGCCAAAGGCGGUGAACUGGUUCUCAAAUUAGGGUUUCAGAUCAUGGAAAAAGAUGGUGGAGCUGGCAUUUACGGUAAACAAGGUGAAUUAGGGAUUAAACCGAGCAGCAAGCCGAAGAAUUUCUCCGGUUCCUUCGGGCGAAAGCAAUCGAAAACUUCCUUCAGUGUCCCCAGCCCAAAGAUGACUAGCCAGAGCCAGACGUGGACGCCAGCAAGUGGCGUGGAAGCUGCGUCUGAUCUUCAAAGAAUUGAGCAUCUGAAUCUGGAUGACCCGGAGGAGAAACCUGCUCCGAAAACAGAGGAACCUGAACAGAGAGUUGAAGAAGAUGAUCAAGAGCCUCCUGAUUUUGAGGUUGUGGACAAAGGAGUCGAGUUUGAUGACGACAUGGAAACUGAGAAAUCAGAUGGAACCAUAGGUGAGAGAUCCUCUGAGAUGAAGGAGCAACUUGUUAAUGUUGACGAUCCACGGCACAUGAUAAGACUGACGGAGCUAGAUUCUAUUGCAAAGCAGAUCAAAGCGCUUGAAUCUAUGAUGAAAGAUGAUCGUAACGGUGAGGAAGGUGAGAGAGAGUCACCAAGGCUCGAUGAAGAGGAGCAGACUGUGACAAAGGAGUUCCUUCAGUUACUUGAGGAUGAAGAAUCCGAAAAUCUCAAAUUCUACCAGCACAAAAUGGAGAUCUCCGAGCUGCGGUCUGGUGAAUCAGUAGAGGAAGAAUCUGAGAAUUACCUCUCAGAUCUUGGCAAAGGCAUCGGUUGUGUUGUUCAGACGAGGGACGGCGGAUACUUAGUUUCUAUGAACCCUUUUGAUACGGUGGUCAUGAGGAAGGACACUCCUAAGCUCGUGAUGCAAAUCUCGAAACAGAUCGUGGUACUACCUGAAGCCGGAUCAGCGACUGGAUUCGAAUUGUUUCAUAGAAUGGCGGGUUCGGGUAAGGAACUUGACUCAAAGAUAUGUUCGCUUAUGGCGAUGGACGAGCUUAUGGGGAAAACAGGGGAACAAGUGGCUUUCGAAGGUAUAGCGUCAGCGAUCAUACAAGGGAGGAACAAAGAGCGAGCGAACACGAGCGCAGCGCGAACUGUUGCUGCUGUUAAAACGAUGGCUAACGCUAUGAACAGCGGAAGAAGAGAUAGGAUAAUGACAGGAAUCUGGAACGUGGAGGAGAAUCCAUUGGCUUCAGCUGAGGAGGUUUUAGCUGUUUCUUUGCAGAAACUUGAAGAGAUGGUGAUCGAAGGACUAAAGAUUCAAGCUGAUAUGGUGGAGGAUGAUGCUCCUUUUGAGGUUUCCGCUGCCAAAGGCCAGCCAAAUCCACUUGAGUCGACCAUCCCGCUCGACGAGUGGCUCAAGGAGAAUCGCAAGCAGAAAACGUUGACCGUUUUUGCGACAGUGCAGCUCCGGGACCCAACAAGGAGAUAUGAGGCAGUGGGAGGGACAGUUGUCGUGGCGGUGCAGGCUGAAGAUCAGGAGGAUGGACUAAAAGUGGGAAGCUUGCACGUUGGGGGAGUGAAGAGCAAUGGGGCGGAGAAGCGAAGGUUGACUGCGGCGCAGUGGCUUGUGGAGUAUGGUAUGGGUAAGAAGGGUAAGAAGAAGAGUAAUGUUAAGAGGAAGGAGAAAGAAGAAGAAGAAGAUGAAGAAUUGUUGUGGAGCUUGUCGUCUAGAGUUAUGGCGGAUAUGUGGCUAAAAUCUAUAAGGAACCCUGAUGUGAAGUUGCACUGUUGAGGUUGAGAAUUUCACAGUACAGAAUAAGAUGCAUAUGUGUAUACAAAAGGUUAUUUUCGCUUUGUUAUUUAUAGCUAUUUGAGCAGAACUUGUCUAGUAUCUAAAUUUGAUCGUUCUUUGUCAACUGGUAAAGAGGUGGGCACUUCGGUUAUUUUCUCGGUUAGGGUUCGGUUCUAGUAUUUUUCCAACUUAAAUAAAUUAUGUUUGGUUUGGUUCGAUUCGGUUUGUGCUCGGUUCGAUUUAUCGAUUUGUAUUCGGGUUCGAUUUGUAUUCGGUUCGGUUGGAUUUAUUUUUUGGAUCAGUUUAUUUAUGUUCUUCUUAGUUAGAGUCUUCUUAGUUUAAUUUUUUUAGAGUAUUUAGGCUCUAUACACACAGAAAUUAUGGAAAUUAGGAGAAUGCCUCCGACACCGUUAAACUUUUUUUAAUACCAAAACACCCCUACACAACUUCAUCACCUAUAUCUUGUACUUUUGAUUUUCUGUCAGAGACUAGAACCUAAGACCUUAUACUACACGCCAUGCACUGGAUUUCACUAUUACUCAUAAAGACGCCAAGGGUACAUAAAUAGGCAACAAUUACAUUUAUUGGUAGUUUACCAAUUGUGUUAAAAGUCACGACCUUUCAUGUUUCUUUCUUCAUAAACUCAACAAUCUCUAUUUUUUUUUUCUCAUUUUUCUCUCUGAUACAGAGAAGCUAGAGAAUCAAAACCUUUCAUGCCUCUUUACCCUGCAUCAUCUAAGAGCAUGUUGAAAUAAUUCGAGAUUUGGAAGAAUUUCUGGCAUGUCCAUGGGGUAGGAUCUCGUUCGAAAUGCUAGUUAUCGGGAUCAAGAAGAAAGACGAGAUUCUACUUUCUCAAACUAGCGUUGCGUUGCCUGGAUUUGUGGAUGCGACUCAGCUUGUGUUUAUGGUGGCAGUUCCUCAGAUUAAAGAGGUUGUUCCACAGGUUGAACCGGUUGUGUUGAUUAAGUCAAGACUCCGAGUCAGAGUCUGAUUGCAACGAUUUUCAAGUUGACGAAGAAGACGAGCCAGAUGUUUCUAAACCAACCCCACCUCUAGCAAUAGUUUGAUAUUGCAUAAACCCAACACACGUUAAAGCCCUGGAUGAAUAAGUUAAGGUUAGUAACUGUAUAAUAACGACUAAUAUUUUUUUGUAAAUGUAAAUAAAGAUCUUACCAGCAUCAAUGUUCAAAAUUGGUUAACUACUUCUGAUGUUGGUCUUUAUGUUAGAUUAGCCGAUACCCUUAGAAUGUCAUAGUUACUAAAUGAUGUAGCGCCUAUCGUAUAUAGUUACCACUAAAUAUUUUGUUAGGUGAAGUAACAGAAAAUAGCUGUAGCAGAGAUACGCUAAUGGAUGAACGUAACAGAAAAUAGCUGUAGCAGAGAUAAUUAACCGUUAUUGUCGCUAGUUAUUUAAUUUGCUCCAUGUUGCGUGUUAAAGGCUAACAAAUGAAAGCUAUUAUGAAUGGUAACUGAUACGAAAAGUAAUUACGGCUAAUAAUUAUCAUGUGUAGUAGUCGACAAAUGUAAUGAAUUCUGCUGCACUAUCCUGCUUGUGGCCACUACUUUAAAAAGUGUAGUUGAUUUGAUUGUUUGUGUCACAUCAAUCCUGACGUUUCAGCAGCUCUCGUCACCAAUCAAGGGAAUUGACAGCCUUAGAGAAAUGGAUGAUCGGAUUGGGUACCAGGUGGGUUCGUUUGCAGAGCGUUAUCUGAGGGAUGAGCUUAACAUAUCAGAGUCAAGGCUCGUCCCGCUUGGUUCACCUGAAGCUUAUGCCAAAGCUUUAAAAGAUGGACCAAGAAAAGGAGGUGUUGCGGCAAUUGUGGACGAGCGUCCUUAUGUUGAACUCUUCCUCUCCAGCAAUUGCGCUUAUAGGAUCGUUGGUCA
rnacentral:lncRNA from 1 species